rnacentral:lncRNA from 1 species
UAUAAAAUAUAGUAAGGAAAUGAAGACCAUUUCAAUGUCAAGCACUCAUGCUGGAAAGAAUCAACAGAAAUGUUCCCAAUAUAGUGAAAGGUAUUUUCUCAAAAUAUCUUCUUAGCAGAUCUUGGUGUUAAUGCUUUUAAAAGAACAUCUGUUUCUAUUUCUCCUUCUGUUUUUCCUGAGUAAGAAAGAUGCAACAUGGUAUCAACCUCAAUGAAAUAAAGCUGUGACAUUGGGCAGGACAUUUCUUCCCUUCCCAGGGGGAUCAAAGUGAAGACUGUGCCAAUCUGGGCUGCAUAAGAACACCCCAUGCCUGGCAUUUGAUGGGCUGGAAGGGCACGGAAGGGCACAAAGCCCUGUGGAAGCUGCCUGGACUUCGUAGAAGAACCACAUGGUACAGAAAAGAUGUGCUGCCCUCAGAAUCAACAUAGUGAAAUUUGACCUUCUACAUGACAGUCUUUCAGAGAUUUAAUGACCCUUAACUCUCAUGAAGCAGGUUUAUGAGGAAAAGGCUUGGACUGGUGCAAAUCCAGCCUCUUUGAAUAUGAUGAGCCCUUCACUCCAAGAAGUGAUGUUCCUGUCACAUUGUCUAUUGAAGUACAUAAGUGGUUCUUUCAAUGUUCAAGAGGCAAGGGCGUAUUUUCAUAUACAUGAACCUUUCAUGUUGCGCUACAUGCAUCUGGCCCCAUUAUGAGGUCACCUGGAGCAAAGAAGGGAUCAUUUUCUUGUGUGUUAACUCUUUCGAACAACAGUUGAAUGCUGCUGUAAUCUGGUGUGGUCAAUAUUUUUAAUGCAUUCUAAUCGUCUGGUUGAAAAUGUUUAACUCUGCCCUUUGAAUGGAAAGAAAAUGCUUUGAAUAAAUAUAUGUGCAUGAGAAAGCUUUAAUUGGCU